CUUGUGCAGCCAGAAUUUUGUUCAUAAAGCCUUUGCCUCUACCAAUGUUUUCAAGAGUUCUACCUAUUUUAUCUUCCAGGAUAUUGGAUUCAUAAUAUCCCAUAGUUAUUGCAGGCUGAGCAGGUCUGCAAUCUCCUGAACAAGUGUACAGCAAAGACUAAAUAAAAAGAGGCAAAUGGAAUGAUUUCAGGGCUCCAGGAGGAUCAAAGCCCUCUCACAGAAUUCAAGAUUCUCUUGGGGCUAAGACCAAGACGUUCUCUGGGUGGCCUGUAUUUAUUUGGUUAUCAGAAGAAGGGAGGCCUGUGAGUCCCUGCUUCAGUUCUCUGAGCUCAGAAACCGACCUUGGCUGCACAGAUGCUGGGAAUCACCCGAGGAGUUAGAAAUACUGGUGUCUGGAGGAAGAUGGUUAUCGGAGGCCAGGGAGGAAGGGAAGGGGAAGAAUUUCAGGUUUGCAAGAUGAACAAGUGCAG
rnacentral:lncRNA from 1 species